GUCAGAUCUCAUUGACGGUUGGUCUGGACAUUGUUUGGGCUGUACUAUCACUGCAAUACGAUGAAUAAAGAUCAGCAGUCUUCAGAGAUCUCCUGUCUGCACUGUCUCCUUUGGACGCCUUGUUCCAGAAGUGCUAAUUAGUAAAUAGUCAAGUGUUUUGGAAAC